CUCGCUAAUGCGUGCAUAAUAUACAUGACGUAUAUAAUGAUAUCCGUCCGUGGUGUACCUAUACGUGUUUGUAGUUUGUAUAUUAUAUGCGACGACGGCAUCGCUUCCUGUUGAAGUUUGUGCGAUGUCAAUAAGCUGUGCUUUCAAAAUUUGAACCUACUUCCGGUCUAACUACAUUAUUGAAACCUGAGAAAACAAAAUCGAAAAUUUAUUUGAAUGCGAAUUUAUCGUCAGUGGAUAUAUAGACAAUAUCUGAUUACUGCUGCUUUGCUGCUUUUCAAAAUAAGUCUAUCGGAAUGGUGACCGUCAGUCUGUCCGAUUCCACCGGUCUAAAAACGGUUCUACACGGUCUCAUAAAACCACGACAACCGACAAAACCGUGCAUAACGUGUAAGCGCGCGGCUUCACGGCGACCGACAGAUUUAUAGAUAUUAAAAAUAUG